ACACAGGAAGCAUCAACUCUGAGGCUUUGGCCAGGAUGUGAGCCCGACUUUCGCAGCCCCAACUGGCAGGCUGACCUCAUGUGAACUCCCUGGCGAUGGCAUCCUGGAGACACCCACAUGGCUGAGCUGGCAUCAUAGGUGAGGCCACUUCCUGCAAAGGUAGCUGGAUGCUCCUGCCUGGAGCUGCCCCCAGACCACAGAGCAUCCAGGAGAUGAAUGCACUUCCAGCCCCGCCACCCUGGGGAGAUAUACAGCUGAGGUGGCAGCUUCGGAGCAAGCAGGGCAGAGAUGCUUCCCCUGAGGUCCCUCCCAGCUCUGCUACCCUGUUACUCAAGGUAUGGGUUGGUUGUGUUCCCCAAAAAUACAUGUUAAAAUCUGAGUCUCCAGCACCUCAGAAUAUGACAUCAUUUGGAAAUAAGGUCAUUGCAGAUCUAAUUACCAUAGUGACCCCUCAUCCUGGGGAAAAUGUUCCAAGGCCCUGGUGGAUGUCUGAAACCUCAGA
rnacentral:lncRNA from 1 species